GAGAAUACUAUAAUCUUAUAUGGUAUCAGGCCCUAGUACUCUAUUUCUAAACCUAUCUUAUUACUAAACCCUAAGUGUUGUGUCUUAUACCACCAUUUUCUUAGUGUCGCCUACCAUUUUUUUCCUCACAGAAAUCAUCAAUUUCCUUCCUCUAAACCUUUAUCAUCACCAUUUCAUAUUCCUAUCAUUAAUACUCUUCUAAUCUUACCAUUCCCAUGCUCACAAUAGCCACUAUCCCUAUUUUUUUUCCUAACCCUUCACAACUUCUCAUUCUAGUAUUAUAUCCCUAUUGUUUAAUUAAACCGUAUAUCAUCCUCACAUUAAGCAUGACAGAUUCCCCUACAUCUUUCAAUACUCAUGGUACUUUUACCUCCCAGUCUUCUUAUUCUUCCUCUAUACAUCCAGCUUUAACUGUAACUAAUGUCAAAAAUCUUAUCCCUCUUGUUCUUGACAUUGACAAAGUAGAGUACUCUCCUUGGGCAACACUCUUCCGCAACACCGCUAAGGUUCACCGUGUUUUGGAUCAUAUUGAUUCAUCGUUUCCGAAACCAAAUAUUCUUGAUGAUGUUUGGGAACAAUUAGAUGCGAUCGUUUUCCAAUGGAUUUAUAGCACCAUCUCUACUCCUUUAUUGUUGAAAAUUCUUGAUGAGAAAGCUACUGCCAUGGCUGCUUGGAUACGUCUGCGUUUCAUUUUUCAAACUCGAAUUGUUCAUCUUGAAAAUUAGUUUGGGUCCAUUGAGCUAGCUCAGUUUUCCUCAUUUUCUGAAUAUUAUCCAGUUAUUCAAUCCAUCUCGAUGCAAUUAUCUGUUCUUGGUCACCCAAUUUCUAAUGGGAGGUUAGUUUUACAACUUGUGGGUCGUCUAAAUCAUAAAGAUUAUAAGGUUGUGGCUGCUCUUAUUCAACAAACUGAUCCAAUUCCAUCCUUUGAUAAAGCAUCUUCUAUGCUUGAGUUAGAUCGAGUCAGUUGAGAAGCUAAUGAAAUAAUUUCGUAGGAAAUUCCGUUCUAGUAACCAAAAGUCAACCCACUCUGGAAGAUAAAAUUAAUUCAAGUCUACCCCAAUUAUCAACCAAAUGGGAGUAGGCAAUCUGGUUAUGCUUUUUCUCGUGGAUGAUGCCGUAGCCGUGGUGGCAAUGGUCGUGGUAGAGGACAUCAUUUUCCUUCUUCUGGUUCACGCAAUUAUGGAUGGGUCUCUAGAAAUAAUGGUCCCCCUUCUUGGUUGAUCGACUUCAAGUCUUUUUAGGCUCGGCCAGGUGCACCAUUAAAUAAUUGGACCCAACAACCAUCAAUUCCGCCUUGUCCUCAUCCAUCUCAAGGUUCAUAUAAUUCAUCUCCGCAGGGCCAUUUUAUUUCUAACCCAUCUCAGCAGGGUAUACUUGGACCACGACCCUCGGGACAGCCUCAAGUUCAAUCCCCGGAUCCUAAUUGGUACUUGGAUACUGGUACUAUGCCCCAUUUGAUGAACAACUCAGGAUCUUUGAACGGGAGCUAGUUUGAUGAGGUGCAAUAGUGAGGGUCCACUCUACUCCGUCUCUUCCAUCUCCUCUCCUACUUCUUCCUCAACAUUUGCAGUUCUCUCUCCAAAAGUUUGGCACAAUCAUUUGGGGCAUCCCGCGAAUUAAUUCUUAACUUUCUUGGGCACCAUAAAUUUAUGGGAUAUUAUCAAUGGUACCCAUGCACUAUAGCAAAAUAACAAUGGUACCCCAGUGUAUUUCAAUGGUACCCCCAAAGUAUAUGCUAAUUACAACCGUGACACUAUUAAUGAUUUUUCCGUUAAAUGUCCGUUAAAAUUUGAAUUUAACCUAACCAUGAAAAGAGCGAAUUGAUGGAAUUUCCAUCGCCGGAGAAAACAUUGUUGAUGGCAUGAAUUGAAUUUAGACAGAAAUAAAAGCUUAAAAAAGGCUGAACCAGGAGAAGGAGAAACACAAUGAUGUUCCAAAGGUAGGACCCACAAAAACCACUGACCCACUCACAAUGUAACCGAAGAUCUUGUGAGCAGAAAUCGACUCGAUGAUGGCUUAUUUAGAUUGUAAAUUGUGUUAGGAACUUGUAUAAUAUACACCCUUGUGUAAUGGCUUUAGGUUUUUCUAAUUUGAAGAAAUUCUUCUAUCAAGUUUGACUAAUUUUAUUACCUUUUGUUGUUGUUUAAUUUUGAAGAACCGUGAUGCAUUUAUCGUUUGUCAGGUUUGAAGAAUUUGUUCUUCAAUUUAUUUGGGUUUUUUAAUUUGAAGAAUUUCUUGUUCAAUUUAUUUUGGUUUUUUUAAUUUGAAGAAUUUCUUCUAUCAAGUUUAACUAAUUUUAUUGCCUUCUGUUGUUCUUUAAAUUUGCAAAACCGUGAAUUUGGGUUUUCAUCAACCAAAUAGAAUACAAACACCCUCAACCUCAGAUAUACUUUUCCCUCUUUUUAAAGGUAAUGUUUAAGUAAUUUUGCUCAAAGUUCAGUAAAAUCCAAACCAGAGAAUUGCUUGCAUAUAAAGGAAUACCCUGAAUGGAAAAUCAGCACAAUUUGAGUUGUUAUCUUUGUUAUCACUUCAAAAACAAACAAAUUGGAAUACAGUAGGACCAGUAGUACUUCACCCACUAACCAAAUUGUGAAAAUC